rnacentral:rRNA from 1 species
AGCGAACGUUUGCGGCGGGCUUAACACAUGCAAGUCGAACGAGAAUCCCUUCGGGGAGGAAAGUGGCGCACGGGUGCGUAACACGUGGAUAACCAACCCAUUGGUUUGGGACAACACCGGGAAACUGGUGCUAAUACCAGAUGUGUCGCAGCUGUCUUCAGGCGGUUGCGAGAAAGGCCCGCAAGGGUCGCCAACGGACGGGUCCGCGUCCCAUCAGCUAGUUGGUGAGGUAAUGGCUCACCAAGGCAAAGACGGGUAGCUGGUCUGAGAGGAUGAUCAGCCACACUGGAACUGAGACACGGUCCAGACUCCUACGGGAGGCAGCAGUGGGGAAUAUUGCGCAAUGGGCGAAAGCCUGACGCAGCCACGCCGCGUGAGCGAUGAAGGUCUUCGGAUCGUAAAGCUCUGUGGGGGGAGAAGAAGAAAGCCGGUGAAGAGCCGGCCCUGACGGUAUCCCCUUAGCAAGCACCGGCUAACUCCGUGCCAGCAGCCGCGGUAAAGU